rnacentral:rRNA from 1 species
UACGUAGGGUGCAAGCGUUAAUCGGAAUUACUGGGCGUAAAGCGUGCGUAGGCGGCUAUGUAAGACAGAUGUGAAAUCCCUGGGCUUAACCUAGGAACUGCAUUUGUGACUGCAUUGCUAGAGUGUGGUAGAGGGAGAUGGAAUUCCGCAUGUAGCAGUGAAAUGCGUAGAUAUGCGGAGGAACACCAAUGGCGAAGGCAAUCUCCUGGACCUGCACUGACGCUCAUGCACGAAGGCGUGGGGAGCAAACAGG